AUGCUUGCUUCAGCAGCACAUAUACUAAAAUUGGAAUGAUACAGAAAAGAUUAGCAUGGCCCCUGAGCAAGGAGAAACAGAAAAAUAAAGAAAAAAAUGAUAACAAU